rnacentral:lncRNA from 1 species
AGAAAAUACAUGGCACACAAUCACAAAUGACACACCGCACGCUGCUAUACUGACACAAUACCAACAAGUCAGUAGUGAGCUCACUGUGUCAACCAACGAUGACAGCAUCCUGCGAGGCAACAGGAUCGCCACAACCACAAUAUUAUCAUUUGGAUAGUGUUAUGAUAAGGGGUCAUAUGUCUUGUCCAAACAAAGUACAUACUAAUUACAUUCAGAUGUCUUCAGUUACUAAUAGGUUAUAGUAUCAUGAACGUAGCCUAUGAUGAACAUUUACUAUGGAAUAUUUACAAUAAUAACCAACAACCUAAUAUAUUUUGCUUGUAUAUACUGCACCUCAGUAGAUCAGGAAUUUUUAUACAGAAUGCACUUCACAAAGCUCUUUAGAUUAGAUAUUACUUUAUGAUUUGUUGUUCACAGAAAUGUGCAUUACGUAGAGAAAGUACAAUGCGUUAAAAAAAGGAUCCAUAACAAAAAAGAGAGACUUAGAACUUCUUACAGAACCUCAGAAUGGUAAAUUAGAUGAAUGCUGAACCAAGUGGUGUCACAGUAAAACAAAUAUUGAACAGUGUCCACAGCAGGUGAAGUCCCUAGUGGUUCAGCCAAAUCAAAUGUAACUUUCAACACCCAUCUUGUGGUACCAUCUUGUGGUAAAGAGAAGACAUUACAGUUUUUUUUUUAAACUGCCGAUGAGUAUUCAGCACUAGUCCAAUAGUGAUUUUGUAAAAACAGUAGGCUACUACUGUAUUGGAAUAGUUAUUCUGUGUUGGAAUAAUUAUUUCACAAACAAUAUGCUAAUACAGAGUUGACCUGUAGCUACUAAAUUUUCUUUGAGAGCUGCAGUGGGCUACACAUUAUUAGGCAAGUGGUGUGAUAUGGUGAUUGGUAUCAUCAUUGUGGAGUUCUAAGCCCUAAGGGAAGUGUGGAACUCUAAUGGCUACUUGAAAUACACAAAUAUAUACAGUGCCUUCAGAAAGUAUUCACACCCCUUGACUUUUUCUAUAUUUUGUUGUGCUACAUCCUUUAAAAUGGAUUAAAUUGAGAUGUAUCAUUGGUCGACACAUAAUACCCCAUAAUGUCAAAGUGGAAUUGUUUUUUCUCAAAACUUUCAAAAUUUUUGCAAAUUAAUAAAAAAGCUGAAAUGUCUUGAGUCAAUAAGUAUUUGUUAUGUCAAGCUUAAAUAAGUUCAGAAGUAAACAAGUCACAUAAUAAGUUGGAGGUUUUCCAAUGCCUCGCAAAGAAAGGCACCUAUUGGUAGAUUGGUAAAAAUGUGAAAGACAGAUAUUGAAUAUCCCUAAAGACAGAUAUUGAAUAUACCUUUGAGUAUGGUAAAGUUAUUCAUUACAGUUUGGAUGGUGAAUCAAUACACCCAGUCACUACAAAGAUACAGGCGUCUUUCCUAACUCAGUUGCCGGAGAGGAAGGAAACCACUCAGGGAUUUCACCAUGAGGCCAAUGGUGACUUUGAAACAGUUACAAAGUUUAAUGACUGUGAUAGGCGAAAACUGAUGGAUCAACAACAUUGUAGUUCCUCCACAAUAAUAACCUAAAUUACAGAGUGAAAAGAAGAAAGAAUAUUUUAUUUUGUACAAGCUAAAACAUGCAUCCUGUUUGCAAUAAAGCACUAAAGUACAACUGCAAAAAAUGUGGAAAAGAAAUUAACUUUAUGUCCUAAAUAUAAAGUGUUAUGUUCGCAGCAAAUCUAACACAACACAUCAUUGAGUACCACUCUUAAUAUUUUCAAGCUUGGUGGUGGCUGCAUCAUGUUGUGGGUUGCUUGUCUCGGCGCAGGACACCGAGAAUGAGUAAUAAAGGUCUUUACUCAACAAAACAACAAAAUAUUCCACGCAGGGAAACUAACUCAGCUCACAAAUAUACGCGACAGCUUAACACAGAACAAACACGCACAAAACGAAUGGGGAAACUAGAGGGUUAAAUAGGGAACAAUAAUUAUGAAAUGGAAAUCAGGUGUGUACAAUGAAGACAAAACAAAUGGAAAAAUGUCACGCCCUGACCAGGUGAACUCGGGUAUUUUGGUCAGGGUGUGUCAUGUUGGGUAUUUUUCCUUGGUUUGUUUUCUAUGUUUGCGUUAUAGCCUUUGUGUUAGCUCUAUGUGGGUUAUUUCUAUGUUGGGUUCUGUCGAUUCCCAAUCAGAGACAGCUGUCGCUAGUUGUCUCUGAUUGGGAUCACAUUUAAUUCCUUUUUCCCCCACGCUGUUUGUGGGGUGUUGUCUCUUUGUUUUGAGCAGUUAACGUAUCGGCAUUUUCUUGGUUUUGUGUACGUGUUUAUUUCAGUGUUAAGAAUAAACAUGUGUUCGCUCCCAGCUGCGCUUUGGUCCUCUUCCUCAUCACCCAACGACGAACGUUACAAAAAAGAAAACAUGGAUCAGUAGCAACUAGAAAACCGACUACAGAGGAUUGUGUGUAGGUCCCUGACAAAAAAAAUGAGAAAUCAAUUUUAAUCCCACCUUGUAAUACAACUAAAUGUGGAAAAAGUUAAGAGGUGUGAAUACUUUCUGAAGGCACUGUAUUUACAUAAUGUAGGCUAGGUAGUUAAUGAAUUGCCUCUGGUCUGGUCAGUAGGUCACCCUUAAAAUUUCCAUUCUAGUUUUUUUUUUUAAAUGUGUUUAUUCUUUUUCAUCAGCAGUGGGUUCCAUCUUUAUAGUGUUUUUGACUCUUGUGAAAGUCAAUUCGGAUUUGUUUGUGAACUUUAUCCCCUCUCGGAACUUGUUAAUUCCAAGUUUCUCGAAUGAGAUUCUCUUCAACUUUACAGAAGACCUGGAAAAAAACACACAAAAGAUACUCAAUAUUACACCUGCACUAUAAACCAGACCUUAUAAAGCUUAUCAUACUUUGUUUGACUUACCCUCUCUUCGCUGCUCCUACAAAGUUAUUUCGUUUAUCUUGAUCCAAAAUGAGAAUGUCCAUGGGCCCAUCCUCUUGGAUUAGAACAGCUAGGAAGUAUUUCGCCCCCGUCUGCCCCAUCUUCAUCUCAGAAACGUCUUUGAUGGUUCCACACGCAGUGGUACUUCUCCGGUUUGUCUUUUUCACAGGAGUAGUUGGAAUUUUUGAACCUAAUAAAAACAACAACACAUAUCAUUUUUCCCAGAUGCC